AUGCAACCAGAACAAAAGAAAGCUAGAAUACAACAAAUUACAGCUAGCCAAGAGUUGAAGCGCAGCACACCAAGCAAAGAUUCAAUUGCGAUGGAGAAUCCUGCAUAUGUUGCAACUCAAAAGGAAGUUAGUACAUCCAAAUUUAGUGAAAAACACGUAAAGCGUGUGACACCCGGAGAAAGGCAAACAUUGCUACGCCGCUGUAACAAAGAAUUCUCGACAAGGCGGAUGAAAACUGUUUCUGUAUCAUCAAAAGAAGAAGCAUCUAUGACAGAAACCGGCAACGAUGGCACGGAACCUCUACAGCAACCAGAGGUCAUGAUUUAUGGUAAUACUCUAAAUUUUAUACAAUACUUGCAUUCAAAAUAA
rnacentral:rRNA from 1 species